AUUGAACGCUGGCGGCAGGCCUAACACAUGCAAGUCGAGCGGAUGAAGGGAGCUUGCUCCUGGAUUCAGCGGCGGACGGGUGAGUAAUGCCUAGGAAUCUGCCUGGUAGUGGGGGAUAACGUCCGGAAACGGGCGCUAAUACCGCAUACGUCCUGAGGGAGAAAGUGGGGGAUCUUCGGACCUCACGCUAUCAGAUGAGCCUAGGUCGGAUUAGCUAGUUGGUGGGGUAAAGGCCUACCAAGGCGACGAUCCGUAACUGGUCGGAGAGGAUGAUCAGUCACACGGGAACUGAGACACGGUCCAGACUCCUACGGGAGGCAGCAGUGGGGAAUAUUGGACAAUGGGCGAAAGCCUGAUCCAGCCAUGCCGCGUGUGUGAAGAAGGUCUUCGGAUUGUAAAGCACUUUAAGUUGGGAGGAAGGGCAGUAAGUUAAUACCUUGCUGUUUUGACGUUACCAACAGAAUAAGCACCGGCUAACUUCGUG
rnacentral:rRNA from 1 species